rnacentral:rRNA from 1 species
GAUGAACGCUGGCGGCGUGCCUAAUACAUGCAAGUCGAGCGAACGGACGAGAAGCUUGCUUCUCUGAUGUUAGCGGCGGACGGGUGAGUAACACGUGGAUAACCUACCUAUAAGACUGGGAUAACUUCGGGAAACCGGAGCUAAUACCGGAUAAUAUUUUGAACCGCAUGGUUCAAAAGUGAAAGACGGUCUUGCUGUCACUUAUAGAUGGAUCCGCGCUGCAUUAGCUAGUUGGUAAGGUAACGGCUUACCAAGGCAACGAUGCAUAGCCGACCUGAGAGGGUGAUCGGCCACACUGGAACUGAGACACGGUCCAGACUCCUACGGGAGGCAGCAGUAGGGAAUCUUCCGCAAUGGGCGAAAGCCUGACGGAGCAACGCCGCGCGAGUGAUGAAGGUCUUCGGAUCGUAAAACUCUGUUAUUAGGGAAGAACAUAUGUGUAAGUAACUGUGCACAUCUUGACGGUACCUAAUCAGAAAGCCACGGCUAACUACGUGCCAGCAGCCGCGGUAAUACGUAGGUGGCAAGCGUUAUCCGGAAUUAUUGGGCGUAAAGCGCGCGUAGGCGGUUUUUUAAGUCUGAUGUGAAAGCCCACGGCUCAACCGUGGAGGGUCAUUGGAAACUGGAAAACUUGAGUGCAGAAGAGGAAAGUGGAAUUCCAUGUGUAGCGGUGAAAUGCGCAGAGAUAUGGAGGAACACCAGUGGCGAAGGCGACUUUCUGGUCUGUAACUGACGCUGAUGUGCGAAAGCGUGGGGAUCAAACAGGAUUAGAUACCCUGGUAGUCCACGCCGUAAACGAUGAGUGCUAAGUGUUAGGGGGUUUCCGCCCCUUAGUGCUGCAGCUAACGCAUUAAGCACUCCGCCUGGGGAGUACGACCGCAAGGUUGAAACUCAAAGGAAUUGACGGGGACCCGCACAAGCGGUGGAGCAUGUGGUUUAAUUCGAAGCAACGCGAAGAACCUUACCAAAUCUUGACAUCCUUUGACAACUCUAGAGAUAGAGCCUUCCCCUUCGGGGGACAAAGUGACAGGUGGUGCAUGGUUGUCGUCAGCUCGUGUCGUGAGAUGUUGGGUUAAGUCCCGCAACGAGCGCAACCCUUAAGCUUAGUUGCCAUCAUUAAGUUGGGCACUCUAAGUUGACUGCCGGUGACAAACCGGAGGAAGGUGGGGAUGACGUCAAAUCAUCAUGCCCCUUAUGAUUUGGGCUACACACGUGCUACAAUGGACAAUACAAAGGGCAGCGAAACCGCGAGGUCAAGCAAAUCCCAUAAAGUUGUUCUCAGUUCGGAUUGUAGUCUGCAACUCGACUACAUGAAGCUGGAAUCGCUAGUAAUCGUAGAUCAGCAUGCUACGGUGAAUACGUUCCCGGGUCU